GACGAACGCUGGCGGCGUGCUUAACACAUGCAAGUCGAACGGUAAGGCCCUUUCGGGGGUACACGAGUGGCGAACGGGUGAGUAACACGUGGGUGAUCUGCCCUGCACUUUGGGAUAAGCCUGGGAAACUAGGUCUAAUACCGGAUAGGACUACGCGAUGCAUGUCGUGUGGGGGAAAGCUUUUGCGGUGGGGGAUGGGCCCGCGGCCUAUCAGCUUGUUGGUGGGGUGAUGGCCUACCAAGGCGACGACGGGUAGCCGGCCUGAGAGGGUGUCCGGCCACACUGGGACUGAGAUACGGCCCAGACUCCUACGGGAGGCAGCAGUGGGGAAUAUUGCACAAUGGGCGCAAGCCUGAUGCAGCGACGCCGCGUGGGGGAUGACGGCCUUCGGGUUGUAAACCCCUUUCAGCACAGACGAAGCGUAAGUGACGGUAUGUGCAGAAGAAGCACCGGCCAACUACGUG
rnacentral:rRNA from 1 species